rnacentral:rRNA from 1 species
GAUGAACGCUGGCGGCGUGCCUAAUACAUGCAAGUCGAGCGAACAGACGAGGAGCUUGCUCCUCUGACGUUAGCGGCGGACGGGUGAGUAACACGUGGAUAACCUACCUAUAAGACUGGGAUAACUUCGGGAAACCGGAGCUAAUACCGGAUAAUAUAUUGAACCGCAUGGUUCAAUAGUGAAAGACGGUUUUGCUGUCACUUAUAGAUGGAUCCGCGCCGCAUUAGCUAGUUGGUAAGGUAACGGCUUACCAAGGCAACGAUGCGUAGCCGACCUGAGAGGGUGAGCGGCCACCAUGGAACUGAUACACGGUCCAGACUCCUGCGGGAGGCAGCAGUAGGGAAUCUUCCGCAAUGGUCGAAAGCCUGACGGAGCAACGCCGCGUGAGUGAUGAAGGUCUUCGGAUCGUAAAACUCUGUUAUUAGGGAAGAACAAAUGUGUAAGUAACUAUGCACGUCUUGACGGUACCUAAUCAGAAAGCCACGGCUAACUACGUG